rnacentral:pre_miRNA from 1 species
AGAGAGAUAGCUGGGUCAAAUGGUGGUUCCAUUCCCGGUUUUCCAAGAAAUCUCUAUACUGCUUUCCAGAGUGGUUCCACCAAUUUGCACUCCCACCAGCAAU